AGAGUACUGGUGAGACAGACGGUGGUGAGGCUGAGGCAGGCUGUGAUGCAUGGAGGAGGAGGCAGAGGAGACACAGAGAGAGAGGAAGCCAGCAGAGAGAAAGGUUCCAUGACUUUAUGGAGACAUUUCUUCCCAUUCUUUCCAAGAAGUUGGAUACACAACAUCAACACUCCCAGUAAACUGGACACAGGAAUAUUUGUUGUGCUACAAGAGCUACACCAGAGCACCCAGACAGACCAAGUCUCAAGGAACAGGUUGGCAAGGACACAGGAGAGGCAUCAUGGGAGGAACAAAACAGGAUACGAAAUGUGAUGACUGACUGAGUGAAAGAAGAAAACGUCAGAGAAAGAAGGAAAGAGAGAAGGAUUGUGCGUUCUCUACUUUCUCAGAAGUGCAGCCCCUAAAUUCCUGUUACUAUGCCUGAGAGAGGGAGGGCAGCAGACCAGUCAAAAUGAACCCCUACGUCACCUCUCACUUUAGGAGGGAUCUCUUUCCCCACUUCCACUUGUUGUAGAGGCUUCUCUUCUCUUCACCCCUCUCUUACUGUUUGUGUGACAUGGGUACACCUGUUUCUGUGUAAACCUAGGACAACAGGUAACACCUGUCUCUGUAAACCUAGGACAGCAGGUAACACCUGUCUCUGUGUAAACCUAGGACAACAGGUAACACCUGUCGCUGUGUAAACCUAGGACAACAGGUAACACCUGUCUCUGUAAACCUAGGACAACAAGUAACACCUGUCUCUGUAAACCUAGGACAACGGGUAACACCUGUCUCUGUAAACCUAGGACAACAGGUAACACCUGUCUCUCUGUAAACCUAGGACAACAGGUAACACCUGUCUCUGUGUAAACCUAGGACAACAGGUAACACCUGUCUCUCUGCAAACUUAGGACAACAGGUAACACCUGUCUCUGUAAACCUAGGACAACAGGUAACACCUGUCUCUGUGUAAACCUAGGACAACAGGUAACACCUGUCUCUGUGUAAACCUAGGACAACAGGUAACAUCUGUCUCUGUGUAAACCUAGGACAACAGGUAACACCUGUCUCUGUAAACCUAGGACAACAGGUAACACCUGUCUCUGUGUAAACCUAGGACAGUAGGUAACAUCUGUCUCUGUGUGAACCUAGGACAGUAGGUAACAUCUGUCUCUGUGUGAACCUAGGACAGUAGGUAACAUCUGUCUCUGUGUGAACCUAGGACAGUAGGUAACAUCUGUCUCUGUGUGAACCUAGGACAGUAGGUAACAUCUGUCUCUGUGUGAACCUAGGGCAGUAGGUAACAGCUGUCUCUGUGUAAACCUAGGACAACGGGUAACACCUGUCUCUGUAAACCUAGGACAACAGGUAACACCUGUCUCUGUGUAAACCUAGGACAACAGGUAACACCUGUCUCUGUAAACCUAGGACAACAAGUAACACCUGUCUCUGUGUAAACCUAGGACAACAAGUAACACCUGUCUCUGUGUAAACCUAGGACAACAGGUAACACCUGUCUCUGUGUAAACCUAGGACAACAGGUAACAUCUGUCUCUGUGUAAACCUAGGACAACAGGUAACACCUGUCUCUGUAAACCUAGGACAACAGGUAACACCUGUCUCUGUGUAAACCUAGGACAGUAGGUAACAUCUGUCUCUGUGUGAACCUAGGACAGUAGGUAACAUCUGUCUCUGUGUGAACCUAGGACAGUAGGUAACAUCUGUCUCUGUGAACCUAGGACAGUAGGUAACAUCUGUCUCUGUGUGAACCUAGGACAGUUGGUAACAUCUGUCUCUGUGUGAACCUAGGGCAGUAGGUAACAGCUGUCUCUGUGUAAACCUAGGACAACGGGUAACACCUGUCUCUGUAAACCUAGGACAACAGGUAACAGCUGUCUCUGUGUAAACCAACGACUGUUGCCUUGGUAUUCUCCUGUGUUGUGCCUUUGUUGCUCCUAGUCAGGGUGUUACACUGUAAACUGUCAUUAGUGAUCUGGUCAAGGUGUUACACUGUAAACUGUCCUCAGGGAGCUGGUGAAGGGUUUGAACUGUUCCUCAGGAACCUAGUAACAUGUUUAGCUUGUUCACUGGGGGUCAAAGACUUGCCAGCGUUCGAAACCACAGUCCACAGGAAAUGUGUACGGAAGGUAAAGUCUAAUAUCGCAUCCAAACCUUUUUUAUGUCAUUUGGAUUUGCCCUGAAUCAAACCUUUUGAGUUUUCUUUGUUUUUAUCCCUAAGGGAUUUGGCAUGCAACAAACAAAAAAAUCUCUCUUCCCAAAAUAUUACCUUUGUUUGCCUCAGUGGGUCGUUGUUUUUACCCAGUUUUCCUUGCAUGUCCUCUGCAAAUUUUUUCCAAAGGAAUUAGACUGGAAGCUUUUCUGAAAUGGAUAAACAUGUGUGUUCUCUGUCAAGCAGGGGUGUUGAGUGUGACACUUGAACCAAGAGGAGAGAACUAAAGCCAACCCGUUUAGAAAAAACAAGCACAUGGCACCUCCCGUCCCAGGAUUGGACAGGAUUUGACCUCUGAAAUAACCUUUGAGCUCUGAGUUUUCAUAGAGGUCAUCCACAGGUGUAUGCCCUGUGUGCCUGUUACCCCUCCCCUCUUUCCCCACAACCGGCCAAUAGGAUUCUGCUCCUCCUACACACUCACUUUGACUCUAUAAUAGGUGUUGUAUAUUAUUAAUCCUGGUAUCAUAUGUAUAGGAUGGUACACAAAAAUAGGUACACAGAAAGUACACACAAUUGUACAUGCCUUGGCAUUCUAGUCAAGUAAUUUCAUUCUCUCUCCUUUUAUUUAUUGUCUUUCUCCCUCUCUUUCCCUCACUCCCUCUGUUAUAGAGAAUUCUCCCUCUCUUUCCCUCACUCCCUCUGUUAUAGAGAAUUCUCCCUCUCUUUCCCUCACUCCCUCUGUUAUAGAGAAUUCUCCCUCUCUUUCCCUCACUCCCUCUGUUAUAGAGAAUUCUCCCUCUCUUUCCCUCACUCCCUCUGUUAUAGAGAAUUCUCCCUCUCUUUCCCUCACUCCCUCUGUUAUAGAGAAUUCUCCCUCUCUUUCCCUCACUCCCUCUGUUAUAGAGAAUUCUCCCUCUCUUUCCCUCACUCCCUCUGUUAUAGAGAAUUCUCCCAUGCAGUUGUAGUGGAGAGUAAGUCUCCUUAUUGUUGUAUACAUUUUUACAACACUGAGUUAAUACGAUGUAGUUGAUCUGGUCAGUAGUCAGUCUGUGCAGUGUGUUCUGUACUGAAUUGACAAUGCCUUUAGGAGAAACACAGAGACUCUCAGGAAUAGGAUAUCCUGUUAAAAAAACAGUCACCUGAGAGAGCCACAAACAAAUUUCAAAUGUCUCUAAAAGUCUGCUUUUGUUGUGCCAAGAACUCACCACUGACAUUUGAGGACUUUUGUGGCUUGGAAAAGAUACUUGGAUUUGAGGGGAAACUGCUGGUCACAGUCUCCCACUUGUGAGAGACACUGAGUGAGUAUUAUUUACACAGUGCAUGGCUACUGUAGCUCAUAAAUGUAUUCCGAGGCCCUGUAGCAAAUUAAACAUAGGUAUAAAAGGGUGGAGGAACAUAUUCUGACUGAUAGGUCAGUGAAUGUAUUGGAAUUGUGUACCAUUAUCUGAAUCAAUAGUCUAAGGAGUUCCUCCUCUGUUUCAAUCUGCCUUGUGUAUUUUCCAUGACCAAACCACUGGGAAGUGAAGAUCAUGGAACGUAAGAAACAGCAUGCUUUUCUCUGCUGGUUGCAUGUUAGAUACGUGUUAGAAACAUAGACACCGUUUGACUGUACUGUGGAUCUACCCCUGGACUCUGUAUUGUCAUAUUGCACUUUAGUGAAUGUGGGGAGUAUAUAUCCUCCUUACUA
rnacentral:lncRNA from 1 species